rnacentral:SRP_RNA from 1 species
GCCAGGCGUGGUGGUGCACGCCUGUAAUCCCAGCUACUCAGGAGGCUGAGGUAGGAGAAUCGCUUGAAACCAGGAGGCAGAGGUUGCAGUGAGCCGAGAUCGAGCCACUGCACUCUAGCCUGGGUGACAGAGCGAGACUCUGUCUAAA